rnacentral:tRNA from 1 species
CCCAGGGAGGCUUUGAAAGAAUGAAGCACCGUUCUGAAGAGACGGAGAAGGAUUUUAUCCCCCCGGGA